GCAGGUGUGGCGGAAUUGGUAGACGCGCGGGAUUUAGGUUCCCGUGUUUUUAAUGUGAGAGUUCGAGUCUCUCUACCUGUA
rnacentral:tRNA from 1 species